rnacentral:rRNA from 1 species
UUCCGGUUGAUCCUGCCGGAGGCAUUGCUAUUGGGAUCCGAUUUAGCCAUGCUAGUUGCACGAGUUCAGACUCGUAGCGAAUAGCUCAGUAACACGUGGCCAAACUACCCUUCGGAACACGAUACCCUCGGGAAACUGAGGCUAAUAGUGUAUACCACACUCACUCUGGAAUGACGAGUGUGUCAAACGCUCCGGCGCCGAAGAUGUGGCUGCGGCCGAUUAGGUAGACGGUGGGGUAACGGCCCACCGUGCCGAUAAUCGGUACGGGUGGUGAGAGCCAGAACCCGGAGACGGAAUCUGAGACAAGAUUCCGGGCCCUACGGGGCGCAGAGNGCGCGAANACCUUUACACUGCACGACAGUGGANUAGAGGGGAUCCCAAGUGCGCAGGCAUAGAGCCUGCGCUUUUUGUACACCCUAGGGAGGUGUCCGAAUAAGGGCUGGGCAAGACCGGUGCCAGCCGCCGCGGUAAUACCGGCAGCCCGAGUGAUGGCCGAUCUUAUUGGGCCUAAAGCGUCCGUAGCUGGCCGCGCAAGUCCAUCGGGAAAUCCACCCGCCCAACGGGUGGACGUCCGGUGGAAACUGCACGGCUUGGGACCGGAAGGCGCGACGGGUACGUCCGGGGUAGGAGUGAAAUCCCGUAAUCCUGGACGGACCGCCGAUGGCGAAAGCACGUCGCGAGAACGGAUCCGACAGUGAGGGACGAAAGCUAGGGUCUCGAACCGGAUUAGAUACCCGGGUAGUCCUAGCCGUAAACAAUGCCUGCUAGGUGUGGCUCCCACUGCGAGUGGGUGCUGUGCCGUAGGGAAGCCGCUAAGCAGGCCGCCUGGGAAGUACGUCCGCAAGGAUGAAACUUAAAGGAAUUGGCGGGGGAGCACUACAACCGGAGGAGCUGCGGUUUAAUUGGAUUCAACGCCGGG